rnacentral:lncRNA from 1 species
CGGCCGCGGUGUCCGCUGCAGCCAACCACCAGGGUGUAGCGCUGAUGCAUGGGCAGCAAAGCGGGCCACGAUGACAGAUUACGGCGAGGAACAACGCAACGAGUUGGAGGCUCUGGAGUCCAUCUACCCCGACUCCUUCACAGUGUUAUCAGAAAACCCACCCAGCUUCACCAUUACUGUGACAUCGGAGGCUGGAGAAAAUGAUGAAA